rnacentral:rRNA from 1 species
GAUGAACGCUGGCGGCGUGCCUAAUACAUGCAAGUCGAGCGAACAGACGAGGAGCUUGCUCCUCUGACGUUAGCGGCGGACGGGUGAGUAACACGUGGGUAACCUACCUAUAAGACUGGGAUAACUUCGGGAAACCGGAGCUAAUACCGGAUAAUAUAUUGAACCGCAUGGUUCAUUAGUGAAAGACGGUUUUGCUGUCUCUUAUAGAUGCAUCCGCACCGCAUUAGCUAGUUGGUAAGGUAACGGCUUACCAAGGCGACGAUGCGUAGCCGAACUGAGAGGGUGAUCGGCCGCACUGGAGCUAAGACACGGACCAAGCUCCUAAGGGAGGCAGCAGUAGGGCAUCUUCGGCAAUGGGCGGAAGCGUGACGGAGCAAAGCCGCGGAAGUGAGGAAGAGCAUCGGAUCGUACAGGACUGUUACUAGGGAAGAACAAAUUUGUAAGUAAAUAUACACGUCUUGACGGUACCUAGUCAGAAAGCCACGGCUAACUCCGUG